AAGCGGAGUACGUUGGACCCGGCUCCGCCCUACCCCACGGGGCCGCCUGGAGAGGUGCUGGGAGCUGGGUGGAGCUUAGAGGAAUUAAACUUUGGCCCUGCGCCUCGUCCAGCCUAGGUUCCACCCUUUUCUGGGAAAAAUGAAUCUCGCUGUGUUGUCCAGGCUGGAGUGCAGUGGCACCAUCUCGGCUCACUGCAACCUCUAGCUCCCAGGUUCAAGCGAUUCUCCUGACUCAGCCCCCUGAGUAGCUGGGAUUACAGGCACGCGCCACCACUCCCAGCAGGAAACUGCUCAACAGUCACAUCUUGAAAGUAACUUGAGGCAACUGCAGGAGGGCUGCAUGGCGGGAAAGAAAUUGCUGAAAACAGGCUGGGUGAGCUGGCUCGUACCUGUGAUCCCAACACUUUGGGAAGUGAAGUUGGGCGGAUCACUUGAGGUGAGGAAUUUGAGACCAACCAGCCUGACCAACAUGGUGAAACCUCGUCUCUACUAAAAAUAAUAAAAUUAGCCAGGCAUGGUGGUAGGCGGCUGUAGUUCCAGCUAUUCGGGUGGUUGAGGCCUGAGAAUUGCUUGAACCUGGGAGGUGGAGGUUGCAGCGAGUCGAGAUUGCGCCACUGCACUCCAGCUUGGGUGACAGAGCGAGACUCUCUCUCAAAAAAAAAAAAAGAAAUUGCAGAAAAUUUAUUUUUCUCCCCUCCCUUUUUCACUACUGUCCUUGACUGGUUAAAAAAAAAAAAAAAAAGCCGGCUGGGCGUGGUGGCUCAUGCCUGUAAUCCUAGCACUUUGGGAGGCCGAGGCAGGUGGAUCACCUGAGGUCAGGAGUUCAAGACCAGCCUGGCCAACAUGGUGAGACCCUGUCUCUAUUAAAAAUACAAAUAUUACCUGGACGUGAUGGCAGGCGCCUGUAAUCCCAGCUACUCGGGAGGCUGAGGCAGGAGAAUCACUUGAACCCGGGAGGUGGAGGUUGCGGUGAGCCUAGAUAGUGCCAUUGCACUCCAGCCUAGGCAGGCCAAGGUGGGAGGCUCACUUGAGGCAGAGUAUGAGACCACUCUGGGCAACAUAGCGAGACCCCAUCUCUAUGAAAAAAAAAAUUGUUGAAAACACCUCAGUUUUCUCUCCCUCUGAAAAAGAAGCUACUGUCUAUAGAAACAAAAGGCGGCCCGGCGUGGUGGCUCACGCCUGUAAUCCCAGCACUUUAGGAGGCCGAGGUGGGUGGAUCACGAGGUCAGAAGAUCAAGACCAUCCUGGCCAACACGGUGAAACUCCGCCUCUACUAAAAAACACAAAAAAUUCCCGGGCGUGGUGGCGGGCGCCUAUAGCCCCAGCUACUUGGGAGGCUGAGGCAGGAAAAUGGCGUGAACGCGGGAAGCAGAGCUUGCAGUGAGCUGAGAUCGCGCCACUGCACUCCAGCCUGGGCGACAGAGCAAGACUCCCAUCUCAAAAAAAAAAAGAAACAAAAGGCAUAGACUUCGCUCAAAUUGUCACCCUCUCCACAGGCUAUCCUUGACCAUCAUGUUUAAAAUUACAAUCCCUGCCUCUUGGAAAUCCCUGUGUUUUUGUUUUUUUUCCUUUUGAGACGGGAUCUCCUUCUGUUGCCCAGGCUGUGAAGCGGCACAAUCACAGCUCACUGCAGCCUCCACCUCCCUCCUCAGCCUCCCGAGUAGCUGGGACUACAGACACGUGCCACCAUGCCUGGCUAAUUUUUCUAUUUUUAGUAAAGUCAGGGUUUCACCAUGUUGGCCAUGCUGGUCUUGAACUCCUGGCCUCAAGUGAUCUACCCACCUUGGCCUUUGAAAGUGCUGAGAUUACAGGCAUGAGCCACCACGCCUGGUUUUUCUUUCUUUUUUUCUUUUUUUAUUUUUGAGACGGAGUCUUGCACUGUCGCCCAGGCUGGAGUGCAGUGAGGCGAUCUCGGCUCACUGCAAGCUCCGCCUCCCAGAUUCACGCCAUUCUUCUGCCUCAGGCUCCCGAGUAGCUGGGACUACAGGCACCCGCCACCACGCCCUGCUAAUUUUUUUGUGUUUUUAGUAGAAACGUGGUUUCACCAUGUUAGCCAGGAUGGUCUCGAUCUUCUGACCUCAUGAUCCACCCGCCUCGGCCUCCCAAAGUGCUGGGAUUACAGGCGUGAGCCACCGUGCCCGGCCCCAUUUAUCCCUAAUAUUUAUUUGUGGGACUUAAUUAACCAACAUGUUAUUUCUUUUCUUUUAUUUUUUUAUUUUUUUUGAGAUGGAGUUUCGCUCAUUACCCAGGCUGGAGUGCAAUUGCACAAUCUUGGCUCACCCAAACCGCCACCUCCUGGGUUCAAGCGAUUCUCCUGCCUCAGCCUCCCGAGUAGCUGGGAUUAGAGGCAUGUGCCACCACACCCGGCUAAUUUUGUAUUUUUAGUGGAGACGGGGUUUCUCCAUGUUGGUCAGGUUGGUCUCAAGCUCCCGACCUUUGGUCUCGAGCUCCCGACCUCAGGUGAUCUGCCCGCCUCGGCCUCCCAAAGUGCUGACAUUACAGGUGUGAGCCACCAUGCCCAGCCCCAACAUGUUAUUUUCUUAUACUUACUUUAUUUUCUGUCUCCCCUCCAGACAAUGUAAGUGCCACGGAGGUUGAGAGAGUUUUUUUGCUCACAGUUGUAUUCCCGGUGCAUUAAACAGUGCCUAUGGCUGGGUGCAGUGGCUCAUACCUGUAAUCCCAGCACUUUGGGAGGCCAGGGUGGGCAAAUCACUUCAGGUUAGGAGUUUGAGACCAGCCUCUAGGUCAGGAGUAGAGACAUGGCAAAACCCUGUCUCUACUAAAAAUACAAAAAAUUAGCUGAGCCUGGUGGCAUGGGUCUGUAAUCCCAGCUACUCGGGAGGCUGAGGCACAAGAAUCCCUUGAACCUGGGAAGUGGAGGUUGCAGUGAACCAAGAUCAUGCCACUGCACUCCAGCCUGGGUGACACAGUAAGACUCCGUCUCAAAAAAAAAACAAAAAAACAAAACAAAAAAAACCAUAGAGAAGAGCUCUUCCCUGGGAGGAGGAAAAGUGGCCUAAGACAUAGUUAAAUCAUAAAAGCAAGUUGUAGAACAUCACUCCUUCAUUUAACACCCAGAUACACAUGACAAAAACCAAUAGACUGCUCUAGCUAUGUGUAUAUAUUUACAAAAGCAAACAUGAGAAUCUAGAAGGUUAUGCAUCAAACUGGUAACAGUGGCUAAUUCUGGGAGGCAGCUGGGGAAAAGUGAGUGGUCAAAGGGGAACUAUAGCAUUAAUUGUUUCAAUUUAAUAUCCAAUAAUGUUUAAUAUCCAAAAUAUUCUUUUUCUCAUAGAUACCAAACAUAAUAAUGCAAAUAAAGUAUGGGGAAGUAUUUAUAUCAUAUGUAAACAAUAUAUAAGGAAAAUGCACCAAAGAAAUAAGCAUAUAUACCUGAAACAAGCUAAGGGAGGGCCAUGCAUAAAUUGUUGGCCAGGCGCAGUCGCUCACGCCUGUGAUCCCAGCACUUUGGGAGGCUGAGGCAAAAGGAUAGCUUGGGCCCAGGGUUUCAAGACCAGCUUGGGCAAUGUAGUAAGACCCCGCCUCUACUUUUAAAAAUAAAUGAAUAAAUUGUGUGGCUGGGUUUUCUGAUCACUCAAGCAGUUUGUGAGUGUGAGUGUGUGUGUGCGCGCGCAUGAGCACGCACAGGGGUGAACUAGCUUGAUUUUUGAAAAAUGGACCCAUAAAUUGUUUUGCUAAAAAUAUCAGCAAGUCCUUAUUUGGGAGUAGUGAAGAGGGGCUGGGUGAAUGCUUGCCAACAUGCCGCAGGAGGAAGAUAAAUUAUCUUUUUACUUUCCACGUUUUCAAGUGAAGAGCAUAGUGAGGUGGGAAUUAGAGAUAAUAGAAUUUGAAAAGCAUAUUAAUUUUUUUCAUUAUGCUUUGCCUUACUUGAAAAAUUAUUGCUAGCAGCUUUUAGAGUUCUGUGUAGCACAGCUCCCUCAAACAUUAAGGAGGCCAUUGGUGCAAACCGAAAAUACAAAUAAGACAGUAAGGUGAAGCCAGGGGUAAGGAUGAUAUCAAAGGAUGUGUCAUCAAGUCCUGCACAGUUGUCAGAGGUGGACUUCACACAAGGCAUUUCUCUCAUGGGCCCUCAUUAUGUGAUUUAGUCUCAACGAAACCCCUACAGUGAAUUUAGUAAUGGGUGGCCUAUGGCUUCUUUCUUUUUUAUUUUUUUAUUUUUUGUGAUGAAGUCUCGCUCUGUUGCCCAGGCUGGAGUGCAGUGGCGCUAUCUCGGCUUACUGCAACCUCCACCUCCCAGGUUCAAGCGAUUCUCCUGCCUCAGCCUCCUGAGUCCUGGGAUUACAGGCAUGCGACACCACACCCAGCUAAUUUUUAUAUUUUUAGUAGAGACAGGGUUUCACCGUGUUAGGCUGGUCUUGAACUCCUGACCUCGUGAUCUGCCCGCCUUGGCCUCCCAAAGUGCUGGGAUUACCAGGUGUGAGCCACCACACCUGGCCGGUUUAUAUCUUUUUACUUUUCUUUUUUUUUUUUUUUUUUGAGACGGAGUCUUGCUCUGACACCCAGGCUGGAGUGCAGUGGCGCAAUCUCGGCUCACUGCAACUCUGCCUCCCAAGUUCAAGUGAUUCUCCUGCCUCAGCCUCCCAAGUAGCUGGGAUUACAGGUAUGUGCCACCACGCCUGGCUAAUUUUUUGUAUUUUUAGUAGAGAUGGGGUUUCACUGUGUUAGCCAGGAUGGUCUCGAUCUCCUGACCUUGUGAUCUGCCCACUUUGGCCUCCCAAACUGCUGGGAUUACAGGCAUGAGCCACGUGCCCAGCCCAUUUCUUACAACUUUCUUCAGUGUAGGCCUAACCUUCAUAUUCAGUUCAGUAAAAAUAAGUCUACUGGUAGGCGGAACAAAGGGCUCCUGCCUCACAGCUUGCUUGCUUGCUGUCUGUCUUUUCUUUCUUUCUUUCUUUCUUUCUUUCUUUCUUUCUUUCUUUCUUUCUUUCUUUCUUCCUUCCUUCCUUCCUUCCUUCCUUCCUUCCUUCCUUCCUUCCUUCCUUCUCUAAUGAAGUCAUAACUUAACAGCUUUCUGAGGUCUGGAUUGAUCCACAGGUAAAAUUAUUUCAUGAUCUGUAAUGGACAGAAUAUUCUUCCAGCAAUCUGCCACAAGUAUUGCUUCAGAACAAAGACUUGAAGUGCAGAGAACAUUGGCACAUACCCUCUAGGGAAUCCCAAACCGUCCCCAAGAUUUCUGCUGAUGUUUAUAUUGUCAUAAUCACUGAUGACACGUGGGAAGGAAGAGAGUGGAUUACAUCACAGCAAUGGAACUUCAGAUUAAACUCUGAGUGUCCCUGUGCUUAAAAUAUCAUCACUCACCCACCAUGACUUCCCACAGUCCCCAACUCAGACCAGCUCACUGGCUCUUGUCUCUCUUUCCUCCUUAGCCCCACUCCCCAUCAGUAGGAAAAAAUAAGUGACAAAUCCCUCUUGUUUUCCCAUAAAGAGGCAGCAUAAAUAUUCUCUUUUUCCUUCCUUCAAGGCCUCUCACUUUUAUUACAGGUAACUUAUUAAAAUAUUUUCCUGAAAGCAGUUCUUUCCCUAAAGGAGAUUGUCUACUAGCGCCAGAGUGUUUGAUAAAAAUUGAGUAGUAUUAGGCCAGGCUCUGUGGCUCACGCCUGUAAUCCCAGCACUUUGGGAGGCCAAGGCAGGCGGAUCACCUGAGAUCAGGUGUUCGAGACCAGCCUGACCAACAUGGAGAAACCUCGUCUCUACUAAAAAUACAAAAAUUAGCUGGGCGUGUUGGCGCGUGCCUGUAAUCCCAGCUACUCGGGAGGUUGAGGCAGGAGAAUCGCUUGAACCCAAGAGGUGGAGGUUAUGGUGAGCCGAGAUCGUGCCAUUGCAUUCCAGUCUGGGCAACAAGAGUGAAACUCCAUCCGAAAAAAAAAAAAAAAAAAAAGAAAUUGAGUAGUAUUAGCUUUUUAUUAAUUCAUUCAGCAAAUACAUAUGACGCAAUCACGAUGUAUCAGGUUCACUCCUACUAGAUGUACAUGAACAAGGCCUUGCCCUGAAGGAAAAGUGGAAUAGACAUGAGAUUAAGCAUGCAAAUUACAGCCUCUUCCUCAGAGAGCUGCCGAUAGCAACUAACACUGACGAAAGUCAAUCACAAUAUCAGUUCCUUCCUCUACAGAGUGUUAAAAGUUUCUCGGCUGGGUGCGAUGGCUCACGCCUGUAAUCCUCUGUAAUCCUGAGAAAGUGCCUGUAAUCCUGGCACUUUGGGAGGCUGAGGCAGGUGGAUCACUUGAGGUCAGGAGUUCGAGACCAGCCUGGCCAAUAUGGUGAAAUAUGUAUCUUUACUAAAAAUACAAAAUUUAGCCGGUUGUGGUGGCGGGCACCUGUAAUCCCAGCUACUUGGGAGGCUGAGGCAGGAGAAUCGCUUGAACCUGGGAGGUGGAGGCUGCAGUGAGCCGAGAUCAUGCCACUGUACUGCAGCCUUGGCAACAGAGUAAGACUGUGUCUCAAAAAAUAAAAAUAAAAAAAGAGUGUUAAAAGUUUCUGAAGAGAAUAGUCAAAGCAAAUUUUUAAACUUUAGAACUCCUUUAAUAACUGUGUUUUCAGCAGUGACCUAAAAUUGCUAAUGCUUACCGAUAUGACCAUCUUGGGGUCUCUGAGGGGCAUUGUAAUGGCACCCUUAUUCCUCACCAGGGUUCUGAAGCAAUUAAGAUAUAAGAACAGGGAGGCAGCAGAUGGAGACUAAAAUGUCACCUUUACUACUGACAAAGGCUAGGUUGGAGGGCAGAGAUUAUUUUUUUUUUGGAAAAAAAAAUUUUUUUUGAGACAGGAUCUCACUAUUUUGCCCAGGCUGGUCUUGAACUCCUGAGCUGAGGCAAUCCUCCCGCCUCAGCCUCCGGAGUAGUUGGGAUUACAGGUGUGAGCCACUGCACCUGGCAGAGGUCAGAGACUCUGUGAGCAAAUGACUUCCUAAUACUUUAUAAGACUUAAGCCUAAAAUGAGACAGACAGGCCUCUAAACCUUACUAAGUAGAGGAGGGAGUGGUAGGCCAGCUCCUAAUAGGAAAAAGGGAGAGAAAAAGGCUACACAUGUCAGUUUGUCCUUCCAGAUUCCCCAGAUAGGUGACAAGGGGAACAAGGCCAUGGGCAAAGCAGAUUCUCACAAUGGAGUAUGGUUGAUUCCUUACAGGAUCUCCUUUUGAAGUUAGAGAGAGUAGCUAUACCUUAGGAAAUGUGGCUGGACAAUUAAGCUGGGUUUAUUAAGAAUAUAUGCAGGAUGAAAGUGGAGUUAGCUGGUACCCAUCCCUGGGCCUUAUGGUUGUGGAGGAGUUCACUUAGGGUAACUAUCCUGUAUGUGCUGGCAGUGGUGGGGGAAAUACUUUUGUUCUUGGGGCCCAAUCUGUUCCAGGUGGCCAUGAACCUGCUUGUGAGCCUGUGGUGAGGAAGAUGAGAACGAGAAGGGGACAGCUCUUGGGACUGGACAUUAGUGCUUUCAGGUCGAUCUGUGAUGCUUACCCCGGUUUUUGUUUUGUUUUCGUUUUUGGGACAGGGUCUUACUCUGUGACCCACGCUGGAGUGCAAUGGCACCAUCACAACUUACUGAAGCCUCCACUUCCCGGGCUCAAGUGAUUCUUACACCUCAGCCUCCUGAGUAGCUGAGACCACAGAUGGAGUUUUGCUCUUGUUGCCCAGGCUGGAGUGCAAUGGCAAGAUCUCGGCUCACCACAACCUCUGCCUUCUUUUUUCUUCUGUUUUUAAAACUUGUGGUAAAAUCUAGAUAACAAAAAGUUUGCCAUUUUAACCAUUUUUAAGUGGACAGUUCAGUGGCAUUAGUUACAUUCCCAAUGUUGUGUAACCACCACUACUAUCCAUUUCCAGAAGGUUUUCAUCACCCGAAACAGAAACUCUGUACCCAUUAAAUAGUAACUCCCCAUUCUACCCUUCUCUCCCUCCAUAACCUCUGUUUUACCUUCUGCAUCCAUCAAGUUGCCUGUUAUAGAUAAUUCACAUAGAAUCAUUCAGUAUUUGUUUCUUUUUGUAUCACAUAUCAAAAUUUCCUUUUUUUUUUUUUGCUUUUGAGACAGUCUUGCUUUGUCGCCCAGGCUGGAGUGCAGGGGCACAACCAUGGCUCACUGCAGCCCUCACCUCUCCUGCUCGAGAGUUCCUCCCACCUCAGCCAUCUGAGUAGCUGGGACUACAUGUGUGCGCCACCAUACCCAACUAAUUUUUUGGUUUUUUUUGUACAUACGGGGUUUUGCCAUGUGGCCCAGGGUGGUCUCGAACUCCUGGGCUGAAGUGAUCCACCCACCUUGGUCUCCCAAAGUGUUGGGAUUACAAGCAUGAGCCACUGCGCUGGAAUGCAAUGACACGAUCUCAGCUCACUGCAACCUCUGCCUCCCGGGUUCAAGUGAUUCUCCUGCCUCAGCCUCCCAAGUAGCUGGAAGUAGAGCCAUGCGCCACCACGCCCGGCUAAUUUUUGUAUUUUUAGUAGAGACGGGGUUUCGCCAUGUUGGUCAGGCUGAUCUCGAUCUUCUGACCUCAGGUGAUCACCUGCCUCAGCCUCCCAAAAUCCUGGGAUUACAGACGUGAGCCACCGCGCCUGGCCUAUGCUUUAAAAUAAAAAUAGAGAUUGGGUGUCUGGCUAUUAUGUUGCCCAGGCUGGUCUUGAACUCCUGGCCUCAUCCUUCCCCCUCCACCUCCCAAAGCACGGGGAUUAUAGGUGUGAGCCACCACAUCUUAUCCUUCUGGUGCAUUUUGAAGGUAGAGACCCUAAGUCAGAUUUGCUGAUGAAUCCAUGUGGGGGACGUGGCACAGUUAACCACUCCCUCCCCUCCCCUCCCCAUCCCCGUCCCCUCUGUCCUCCCCUCACCCCUUCCCUCUCUUUUUUUUUUUUUUUUUUUGAGAGGGAGUUUCGCUCUUGUGCCCCAGGCUGGAGUGCAAUGGCGUAAUCUUGGCUCAUCGCAACCUUCGCCUCCUGGGUUCAUGCCGUUCUCCUGUCUCAGCCUCCAGAGUAGGUGGGAUUACAGGUGCACACCACCAUGCCUAGCUAAUUUUUAUAUUUUUAGUAGAGAUGAGGUUUUGCCAUGUUGGUCAGGCUAGUCUCAAACUCCUGGCCUCAAGCGAUCUGCUGGCCUUGGCCUCCCAAAGUGUAAGGAUUACAGGCAUGAGCACCGCCCCAGCCCACACCCUUUUGCUUGAGGCACUUUCUUCUUCUAUUUUUUUUUUUGAGGCGGAGUCUCGCUCUGUCGCCCAGGCUGGAGUGCAGUGGCGCGAUCUCGAGCCCCGCCUCCCGGGUUCACGACAUUCUCCUGCCUCAGCCUCCUGAGUAUCUGGGACUACCGGCGCCCGCCACCACGCCCAGCUAAUUUUUUUUUUUGCAUUUUUACUAGAGACGGGUUUUCACUGUGUUAGCCAGGAUGGACACUUUCUUCUUCCUUUGGAAAUACAUCCUCUGGUUUCCCUCCUCCCUCGCUGGCCUCUCCUCUCAGACUCUUCUGCCUGCUCUACUCCAGGUGCAUUGAAAUGCCCCAGACCUCUGUGUGGGGAGUCUUCUAUGCCACACCCUUCCUAGAUGACAUCAUCUGGCCCUAAGUUUUCAGUAUGAGUCAAUGUGUUGGUGAUGCCCAGAUUCCCACCUCCAGCCCUGAUUUCUUCCAAGUGCUCUAGAGUCAUAUACUUAUUUGCCUGCUUGAUGUCCCUUCUUGGAUGUCAAACAAGCAUCUCAAAAUUCAACUCUUGAUCCGCUCCCCUGCUUCAAACUUCGCCAUCUCAGUAAAUGCGUUAUAUUCCUCCUGGUUGCAUAGGCUUCAAACCUAGGAGUCAUCCUUGAAUAGACCCUCUUUCUUGCCUCCGCAUUUGAGCUUUCAGCAAGUCCUGUCAUUCAGACCAUUCACACGUAUUGAAAAUCCAUCCCUUUCUUGCCGUCUUGACUGAAUAUUCUGAUGAAGUCGUCACCACUGCUCCCUGGACCUCUGUCCUCACUAACAGCGCUUCCUGUUUCCAUUCCUGCUGCUCCAGAGUCCAUCCAUCUCGUCCCUUUUCAGAGAGGCUUCUCUGACCACCCUUUGCAAUGGCUGCUCCAUGGCCCCUGCUAUUACAGGCUGUCAUGCUCUUGUGGGUCUGCUUGUAUAUUUAUCUCUUUUCUGCCUCCACUAGAAGGUGAGCUCUGAUAGGGCAGAGGUUCUGGCUGCCUGGUUCUGUGCUGCAUUUUCAGAGUCUAGAAUAGUGCCUAGCACAUGGUACGUGAUGAGGAAAUCUCUUUCCUGAUGAAUGAGCGAAGCAGAGAAUCCUCAGAAUUCAAGGAUGCUCUCUGUCUGCCUUGGGAGCUAGAGGAACUCUUCAUUUUUCCCUUCAUGAAUCUGCUCCACUGUCCUUUCUGUUUAUUGGCUUCCUCAGUGUUUGGUUUGCCAUGGCGCCAUCUUGGUCCCAUUUCUCAUGUUCUGCUCAGCUCAAAGCAGUCCACGGGUUCAACUCUCAGUGCCCGAGGAAGGCGAAACCCACUUCACUUGGGUCAAGUGUUCAUUUUCCAUCCUCCCUGUCCCCACCCCAAUCAGCAAAGGCUAGUGGCUGGGGGUAAAAGGAAGGCUAGUGGCUGGGGGUAAAAGGCCACCAGCAGAAGGGGGCUCUCCAGAGGCAAGCCCAUCCCCAGCUCCUCCCGAGUAAGUGCCAAUCACCCAGAGGUGGAUCCUCUUUCAGGGCCCUGACUUGCAAAGCUGAGGACCAGCUUCCUGUCAGUGGUAACCCUCAGUGAGGGCCUUGUCUGAGCAGCCAGCAGCCUCUGAGACAUUUCCACGUGGGCACUCACUAACUUAAAAAAGAUAAGUACUCACCCUUCCCAGGAGGUACUGAUGUCAGGAAUAGCCAAGAGUGCAGUCUUGGUCUGUAAGGAGGUGGCCCUUCCACUCCAUACGGCCCUUCCCAGGAUACUGCUGUAUCCUGGGGUCUGCUCGUGGUGCCAGCAAGCAGGCGUUCCUUGGGAGCCCCCCUCAGCCCUCCCACCCACUGCUGUCCUCUCUCCCUGCCCCCAUCUGUGUAAGGACCCUCUGAUUUAUGUUCACUUAGUAAGCUGUGUGUGUGUAGUGGGGUGUCUUUGUCAAUGAUUUGCUCCUUUUCUCUGAAAACUUUAAGGACUUUGUCUUUGAUAUUUUUGGAUUCACAAUAGUAUGUGUAGAUGUCAGAUUUUCCUCAUCUCUCCCCUGUGGCCUCUGUGGGUUCUCUCAGUCUGAGGUCUUUCAUCUCUCUUUAAUUCUGGGAAAUUAAUCUCCAUUCUGUCUUCAAAUAUCACCUCCCUUCCAUAUUUUCCCCUUCUUUCUGCAACUCCUAUUACCUGGAUAUUAACAUUUCUGUUUCUGUCCUCCAUGAUUCUAACUUUUUAAGUUAUUUUCCUUGUUUUUUUUUUAUCCUUUCUUUCCUGUCAGAAUUUCUCAAGUUGAUCUUUCAUUUUUGCUAAUUCUUUUCUUGACUGUGUCAAUUUAUUCCAUUAAUUCUGUUCUGUAUGUCAGUAUUAUAUUUUUUACCCUGAUCUUUCCACUUGGCUCUUCUGUAUGGUUUGUUGUUUUUGUGACAUGGUCAUGGCGGUGUGGGUUGUGGUGGGAGGGGGUUACCCCCGAUAUAGUCUGGAUAUUUGUCCGCGCCUAAAUCUCCUGUCAGAAUGUAAUACUGGGUGCUAGAGGUGGGGCCUGGUGGGAGGUGUUUGGACCAGGGGGGCAGUGUUAGUGCCCCGCAUAUGCUCUCUUUGCGAAAAUAAGCAAGUUAUUGAAAAAUCUGGUCAUGUAAAAGUAUGUGACACCUCUCCCCCUCCCUGCUCCUGCUUUCUCCAUGUGAAAUGCCUGCUCCCACUUCGCCUUCUGCCAUGAUUGAAAGAUCCUUGAGUCUUCAUCAGAAGCUGAGCAGAUGCCAGCACCAUGCUUCCUGUACAGCCUGUAGAACCAUGAGCCAAUUAAAUCUCUUUUCUUUAUAAAUUACCCAGUCUCAGGUUUUUUUUUUUUUUUUUUUUUUUUGAGAUGGAGUUUCACUCUUGUUUCCCAGGCUGGAGUGCAAUGGCGUGAUCUCGGCUCACCGCAACCUCUGCCUCCCGGGUUCAAGUAAUUCUCUUGCCUCAGCCUCCCGAGUAGUUGGGAUUACAGGCGUACACCACCACACCUGGCUAAUUAUGUAUUUUCAGUAGAGACGGGUUUCUCCAUGUUGGUCAGGCUGGUCUCGAACUCCUGACCUCGGGUGAUCCGCCUGCCUCGGCGUCCCAAAGUACUGGGAUUACAGGUAUGAGCCACUGUGCCCAGCCGGUAUUUUUUUUUUUUUUUUGUAUAGCAAUGGAAGAAUGGCCUCGUAUACACCCUAGAGCGGAAAGUCCCAGGCACCAAGGCUUCCCACCCUAGAAGCAAGCUCAGGGCUUUCUCUUCAUCCUUCCAGGGAGAGCACUGAGAGAUGAUGGGGGGUUGGCAGGGGGCAUCCCUUGGAUUAUCAUUCUCCAGACUUAGGCUUGGAGGGGAGGGUGGAGAAGUGGAUUUCUGGGUCUGGUCCACCUCACCUGUUUUCUCAGCUUCUCACCCACUCAGAGCUCUUGCCCCAAUUCUCCCUUUCAUCCUGCAGAUCCCUGCGCCUGACUCAUCUCAGGCGAGGAGGCAAAUCAUCAGUUAUCUCAGGCAGCAGCAGGACGAGACUCCUUUCUGAUUUUCUCCUUCCCUGGCCACCUCUCCCCACCCCAUAUUCACUCGUUCCAAACCUCUGGCCUCCCCAGCAACUCUACAUCCUCAUCUCCAUCUGUUCCCUCUCUCGAUGCUGUGGGUGACAUUGGAGAGGGAAGCCCGGAGCCCUGACCUAGUCCGGCGUGGAGAGAGGAAUGGAAAGCAGUGUCCCUUUUGAGAAGGCAAAUUUACAGCUGGCUUUUGUAAUCCUAGCUAUUUUUUGUUUGUUUGCUAAGUCUUUGAUAGUCCCCAGUGUGGUUUGUCCGCCAGUGAUCUCAGCACCACCAGAGAGCUUGUUAGAAAUGCGGCAUCCCAACCCCACCACAGCCCUCCCAAGUCAGAUACUGCCGCCUCACGAGGCCCCCCAGGGAUCCACAAGUUCAUUAAAGUUUCAGGAAUCCAAUUCUACUACAAAAUAUACAUUUAUAAUUAGGAAAAGGAUAGUUUCUUUUAAAUGGUAGAACUUCCCCAAUGAGUCAGCUACCUGUAUUUCUGGCCUGUCAGGCUGGACACUGGAGACCAUUCUGCAUAGAAUUGUACCUCCCUGAACUACUGUUAGGCCUUAGGGUGAGGAUUCAUCUUUCCCUUCUCCCCACCAUGGAGACAAAAUCCUCUUAAACAUAUCCGGGCCUGGCAUGGUGGCUCACGCCUGUAAUCCCAACACUAUGGGAGUCCGAGGAGGGUGGAUUACCUGAGGUCGGGAGUUUGAGACCAGCCUGACCAACAUGGAGAAACCCCGUCUCUACUAAAAAUACAAAAUUAGCCGGGCAUGGUGGCACAUGCCUGUAAUCCCAGCUACUCGGGAGGCUGAGGCAGGAGAAUUGCUUGAACCUGGAAGGCAGAGGUUGCAGUGAGCCAAGAUCACGCCAUUGCACUCCAGCCUUGGCAACAAGAGCAAAACUCCAUCUCAAAAAACAAAAACAAAAACAAAAAAUAAAACAUAUCCGGCAGUAGGCCAGACACAGUGGCUCACCCCUGUAAUCCCAGCACUUUGGGAGGCUGAGGCAGGUGGAUCACUGGAGGUCAGGAGUUUGAGACCAGCCUGGCCAACAUGGUGAAACCCCAUCCUUUACUAAAAAUACAAAAAUUAGCCGGGUAUGGGGGCAUGUGCCUGUAAUUCCAGCUACUCAGGAGGCUAAAGUGGAAGAAUCGCUUGAACCCAGGAGGCGGAGGUUGCAGUGAGCCGAGAUCGUGCCACUGCACUCCAGCCUGGGCUACAGAGUAAGACUCCAUCUCAAAAAACAAACAUGGUGGCUCACGCCUGUAAUCCCAGCACUUUGGGAGGCCGAAGCAGGUGGAUCACCUGAGGUCAGGAGUUCGAGACCAGCCUGGCCAAGAUGGUGAAACCCUGUCUCUACUAAAAAUACAAAAAUUAGCCGGGCAUGGUGGCGGGCGCCUGUAGUACCAGCUACUUGGGAGGCUGAAGCAGGAGAAUUGCUUGAACCCAGGAGGUGGAGGUUGCAGUGAGCCAAGAUCAUGCCACUACACUCCAGCCUGGGCGACAGAGCAAGACUCUGUCUCAAAACAAACAGGCCAGGCGUGGUGGCUCAUGCCUGUAAUACCAGCACUUUGGGAGGCCAGGAGUUCAAGAUGAGCCUGGCCAACAUGGUGAAACCCUGUCUAUACUAAAAAUACAAAAAUUAGACUGGCGUGGUGGUGGGCGCCUGUAAUCACAGCUACUUGGGAGGCUGAGGCAGGAGAAUCGCUCGAACCCAGGAGGCGAAGGUUGCGGUGAGCCAACAUUGCACCACUGCACUCCAGCCUGGGCGACACAGCAAGACUCUGCCUCAAAAUAAAUAAAAACAAACAAACAAACAAAAAUAUCUGGCAGCAAUUUUCAAGCAUUCAAAAGAGAUGUGAAGGAAAAAAAUUUGGCCGGGAGCAGUGGCUCACGCCUGUAAUCCCAGCACUCUGGGAGGCCAAGGUGUGCGGAUCACGAGGUCAAGAGUUCGAGACCAGCCUGACCAACAUGGUCAAACCUGGUCUCUACUAAAAAUACAAAAAUUAGCUGGGCGUGGUGGCACGUGCCUGUAAUCCCAGCUAGUCAGGAGUCUGAGGCAGGAGAAUCGCUUGAACCCGGGAGGCAGAGGUUUCAGGGAGCCGAGAUCACACCACUGCACUCCAGCCUGGGCAACAGAGGGAGACUGUCUCAAAAAAAAAAAAAAUUAAAUCAGCAUAUUAAUUGAUGAGGACAAGGACAUUUUAUUAUCAUGGGAUUACGGGGACAAAUGAUUGCUGAAAUCAUAAUUAGCUUUCUGGCGGGGGAAGAUAAUAAGGUAGAAAGAGGAGAAAUGGGUGUAAUCAAAGGAAGUGGCAGAGAGAGAUUAAAAAAAAACAACAACAGGAAAUGAGAACAAGAAUAUGACUAACAAUGCCUGAGCCCCACCCACCCGUCCUCAGAGUGGACUCCCUCUCUCAAAGGCUUGUGGGCACCUGCCCCCGAGCUGACUCACCCUGUUCAGUCAUCACAGCUCACUGCAGUGAUGAAGGCUCAGGUGAUCCUUUCACAUCAGCCUCUCUAGUAGCUGGGACUACAGGCAUGUGCCACCAUACCUGGCUAAUUUUUUGUUUUUGUUUUUUUUUUUUUGAGAUGGAGUCUUGCUCUGUCACCCAGGCUGCAGUGCAGUGGCAUGAUCUAGGCUCACUGCAACCUCCACCACCUGGAUUCAAGCAAUUCUCUGCCUCAGCUUCCUGAGUAGCUGGGACUACAGGUGCCUGCCAUGACGCCCAGCUAAUUUUUUUGUGUAUUUAGUAGAGAUGGGGUUUCACCAUGUUAGCCAGGAUGGUCUCGAUCUCCUGAUCUCGUGAUCCACCUGCCUCAGCCUCCCAAAGUACUGGGAUUACAGGUGUGAGCCACCGUGCCCGGCCGUAUUUUUUGUAUUUUUAGUAGAGACAGGGUUUCACUAUCUUGGCUAGGCUGAUCUUGAACUCCUGACCUCAAGUGAUCCACCCACCUCGGCCUCCCAAAGUUCUGGGAUUACAGGCAUGAGCCACUGCGCCCAGCCACCCGUCACCUGCUAGUGUAGACAAAUGAAUAAACUUAGACAAGCACAUGGGCUCCCUCUAUACCAGCCUAGACUUUGACACUGAAACUCCAUGAGUCUGGGCCACUUCCUGCCACAAGUGUGAAUGGAAAAUAAAUCAUUUUCCAAGGAACCCAAAAUCACUAAGCCAAGGAGUCAAGCUGAGAACUUUCAGGCAAACCUGCCCCCCAUUUUAUUUCCUAAAUAAGAGAGCUACAAAGAUUAAAAAAAAAAAAAAAAAAAAAAGCUACACACCUUGCUCAUAAUUUGCCCACAAGGAAAUACCUAAUUCCACAAGGAAGGGCUAAUCAGAAACUCAACAGAAUGCGACUGUUUGUCUCUUAUCCACCUGUGACCUGGAAGCCCUGUCCUUCACCUCGAGUUGUCUCGCCUUCCUGGACCAAACCAAUGUACAUCUUACACAUAUUGAUUGAUGUCUCAUGUCUCCCUAAAAUGUAUAAAACCAAGCUGUGCCCUGACCACCUUGGACACAUGUGGUCAGGACUUCCUGAGGCUGUGUCAUGGGCGUGUGUCCUCAACCUUGGCAAAAUAAACUUUCUAAAUUGGUUGAGACCUGUCUCGGAUACUUUGGGUUCACAUAAGGAAACAGGAAGCAGGGAUCUGGUGUCUAUUUCUUUUUCCAAGCACAAUGUAAGCACAGUUCUAGGCUGUGUUUGUCUUGUGAGUCCUUCCUGGCUCCCCUCAGGCACUGGCUUUCUCUCCUCUCUCCUGCCUUCUCUUUCUGGAUCCACCCUCCAAAUGUUGGAGUUCCUUAGGGUUUGAUUCUUGGAACUCUUCUGUGUUUAUGUGUUCUCCCUAGAUAGUAUCAUCCGUAAGUGACUUAAAUAGCACUCAUAAUGCUUAAAAAAAAAAAAAAUUCCAUUUCUAGCCUGGACGUCUCUGAAUUUCAGAAUAAGGUAAAUGAAGAAUUCACCUUUAUACACCUUAAGUUUGAAAUGCCGGUGAUUUAUCCAACAGCCUCCUUGGUUUUGGUUUUAGCCGUAUCACCGGCAUCUCAUUUAACUCAACGUAUGCACAUCUGAAUUCUACUGACUCUCCUAAACUUGCACUCUGCUCCAUCUCAGCCAAUGGUACCACCAGAACCCAGUUUCCUGAGCUAAGUGCCUUCUUUGACACCUUCCUUUCCAACACCGCCUCACCUGAUCUGUCACCAGUCCUGUCACUUGUUUUAAAUCCUUGCACUGUCUCCCACCUCUGCACCUCUCCUCCUUGUCUCAGCCUGCUGUCUUGCCCUUCUACUCUUGAGCUUCCCUAAAGUCUGUAAUCAUCUAGCACCAUCUUGUUAAAACAUAAAAGAUCAUGCAGAGUCCCACUUAAAAGCUUACAAAUAUCUCAUUGUACUUAAAAUAAAGCUCAAAUUCAGCAAUGCCUAGAAGGCAGUGAGGAGUGGAUAGGUAUGAGGAUGGCUGCUGAUGUGGAUUGCCUGGGUUUAAAUCUUUCUCUUCCUUUUUUCCCCCCCAUGACAGGAUCUCACUCUGAGCGUUACUCAGGCUGGAGUGCAGUGGCCCAAUCAUGGCUCACUCUAGCCUCUGCCUCCCAGUCUCAAGCAAUCCUCCCACCUCAGCCUCCCAAGUAGGUGGGACUACAGGUGACACCACCAUACUCGGCUAAUUUUUGUACUAUUUGUAGAGACGGGGUUUUGCCAUGUUGCCCAGGCUGGUCUCCAGCUCCUAAACUCAAGUGACCUACCUGCCUUGGCCUCCCAAAGUGCUGGGAUUACAGGCGUGAGACACCGCGCCCGGCCCAGAUCUUCGCUUCAGGUCAGCUCCAAGGAGGCUAUCCUUGCCCAUCUUCCUAAAAUAGAGCUCUCAAAACCUGGCUGUUUUCCUUCAGAGCACUGGCCUCCAAUUUCUGAUUCUGUUGCCCAGGCUGGAGUGCAAUGGCACGAUCUCGGCUCGCUGCAACCUCUGCCUCCCAGGUUCAAGCGAUUCUCCUGCCUCAGCCUCCCGAGUAGCUGGGAUUACAGGCACCUGACACCAGGCCCGGCUAAUUUUUUGUAUUUUUAGUAGAGACUGGGUUUUGCCCUGUUGCCCAGGCUGGUCUCAAACUCCUGACCUCAAGUGAUCCACCCGCCUCGGUCUCUUAAAGUGCUGGGAUUACAGGCGUGAGCCACCGCGCCUGGCCUUUUUUUUUCUUCUUCUUCUUCUUUUAAAAAUGUUUAUCUACAAGAUCGAGACGGUAUCUCACUAUCUUGUUGGUUUCAAACUCUUGGGCUACAGGGAUCCUCUCGCGUCGGCUUCCCAAAGUGCUGGGAUUACGGGCGUGAGCCACCGCGCCCGGCCUAUUAAUAAAAUCGGAUGACCUUGCACUUUCUCAGUCAGCGAGUAUUAUUUAGUACUCACCUCCACUUAGCAGUAGGGAGCUGUAUUGCAAAGGGGGCUGAUGAGCGCGGCUUGACGCCCCUACACACCCCGCCAAGGGGGUUGCUGCAGUUACGGUUUCGCCGAAUGUCCGGCAGAGGGCGCUGCGAACACGCCGCUCCAGCCGCCGGGCAGGGGAGAGCGGAAUGACGUUCCCAAUGACCGCAGUCAGAAGCAUCAGCGCAUUCCUAGGACGCUUUCCAGCUGCUGGGUGGCUUCAUACCCCGGUAAAGUGCAUGGUUUCCAAGUUCCCGCUGAGUACUGGGAUCUGGAGAGCUUUUGAAAAACACGGAUUUCUGGACGGCACUCUCAAAGAUUCUGGUUCCAUGGGAAUUGGGCGGGCCCUGGACCCUCUUGAAGAUGUUUCCUGUUGAUUUUGAUGAUCAGAAGGUUUGGGCCCCAUUGGUGGGAACUCCCCAAGGCGACUAGGGAGCCGAAGGAGAGAGGAGGACACAAACCUGGUUUCCACUCCCAACCCUGUUGCUUUUUAGCUGCGCGAUCCUUCUGUGUACUACCCCCCAUGACAACUUGUAAAAUGGAGCUAAUGGUAAAGAUAGGGCUAGGCCAGGCCCUGUGGCUCAGGCCUGUAACCCAGCAUUUUGGGAGGCUGAGGUGGGACGAUCACCUGAGGCCAGGAAUUCGAGACCAGCCUGGCCAACAUGGUGAAACUCUGUCUCUACUAAAAAUACAGAAAUUAGCCAGGCAUGUGGCAUGCACCUGUAAUCCCAGCUACUCGGGAGGCCAAGACACGAGAAUAGCUUGAGCCUGGGAGGCAGAGGCUGCAGGGCUAGAUCCCGUCUCAAAAAAAAAAAAAAAAAAAAGAAAGAAAAAAGAAAAGAAAGAAAGAAAUUUUGGAAUUAUCACUUUGGCUAAAUGAAUGACUAUCAUUUUAUAGUGGCCUGUGAUCCUAGGGUCUUAGGCACAGGGGAUACAGCAAUGAGCAAACAUGCAUUCUGAUGAAGAGAUGCUGACAAUCACAACCACACAAAUAAGCAAGAUAAUUUCCCAUAGAGAUAAGAGCUUUGAGGAAGCCAGAAUGCAGGAAUGUGAUAGAAAGUGGCUGGGAAGAGGGAGCUGAGGCUGGUGGGUCCAAGAAGUCCUCUCCAGGGAGAUGACAUUUGAGCAGUGAUCUGGACAAUGAAAAAGCGCUGACUGCACCUCCAGGUGAGAAGAACUUACUGGACUGAGGAGAAAGCAAGCCAUCAAAAACCCCAAGGAGGGAGUUUGGUGUGUUCAGAGAACUGGAAGGAGGGAACGCCAUGAAAGAGAGGCCAGUAGCAUGUGCGGGGCAGAGAGGGAGCCGGCUUCUUAGCCCGUGGAGAGAGAAAGCAGGAACUAAAGGCAGCACCAACGGGAAAGGCUGCAUCUGGAGAGAGAGGGAGAGCAGCUGCAGGUUGGUCAAGCUGCUGUAAGGCCCUGCCCAGGCCAUACGAACACAGGGAGCUACUUUCCCUGUCCUCGGGACAAAUGUCACAGAGGCAGAGAGGUCUGGGGGAUGGGGGGAUAUGGAAAAUAGUUGCAUAACUUUAAGAGAUGGGUGCCAUUUAACUCAUUUCACACAGGAGGCACUAAGCCAGAGCACACUGAAUGAUGGCCCCCAUCUCAAUUUCCUUCCAGCCCUGCUCCUUGCUUUCCUGCAUCCAUGCCACGUGAUUUCCUGAAUCCAUGCCCCUCGCUUUCCCGCAUCCAUGCCCCCUCGUUUUCCCGCAUCCAUGCCCCUCGUUUUCCCGUAUCCGUGCCCCCCGCUUUCCCGCACCCGUGCCCCUCCGCUUUCCCGCUCCAUGCCCUUUGCUUUCCCUGUGAGUUCUCAGGGCUCUAUUUCCAUUGAAAUUAAAACCCAGUUCCCUGUAGAGUAACUGUCUAUCAGUAGUUCGUGCCUAGUUUCCUUCUCCUUUGUAUUAAGUGACACCAUCUGGCCUUCCCAGUCACCUUGGGCUCGUGUUUCCUUUGGAUGGCUUCCCAAGGGGCAGGGGGCUCCUGAGCAGCAUGUCUUGUGACACAACUUAAUUAGGAUUGUAUUUCAUUCUGCAUUUUACAAACAGAUGACUUCAGCUUUGGGUUCUAAAAGGAAGAAAAGCAGACCCUCUUCCCUUUGGGACUUAGUUGAGUGACCAUUUCUCUUACACAUCUUACUAGACACUGUAUGGAAAAGAAUCUGGACAGACUCAUUCCCUUCAUUCUUCUGUGUACAUAAGCUCCUACUACGGUGUUAAGCCCUGGGGACUAGAAUUCUGUCUUUAAACUUCAGGAAGUCACAGUAGAAUCACAAUGUCAGACACAGUCUACGAAACGCUUCGCAUAUGUUACCUCAUUUGAUCUUUGUAAUCAACCCAUGAGGCAGGUGGGGUGUGGCGGGUAUGAUAGUCUCCUUGUAUGUUGCUGGCUUAGAGAAGGUCAGUGACUUGUUUAAGGUCACACUGCUGGUUCCUGGAAGAACUGGGCCUAACACAGGCCUGUUGGCUCUGUUUUCAUCCCUCUGGUAUCUUAAUCCUUAGCACUUCAGAGUGGUGGAAUUCAAGAUUGGGCCACUUAGCAAACUGGUCCCUUAAUUUAUUAAAUUGUAUUGACAUGUGAGCUGCAUGACCACUGCUUGGAUGGGGCUUCUCCGGUAGACAAGUUCUGUUUUCAUAGCGAGAGAAUGAACUUCCUGGGAGGCUGGAAGAAAGUGAGGGAGGUGAAUGAUGAGCAAUCAGCUGGUCUACUCAUAAUAUCCUCAACAGGGACCACUUCCAGUGGUAGCCAGGUAACCUAUCAGAAUGACCUCCUGUAGAUAACAACUCUAAACUCUGGAGUGCAGAAAAAUUACCUGAAGUCACUAAGGGAGAUCAAAAGCCAGAAUCUCAGAAAGGAGUCAAUACUUGAAGGAAGGGAAUGGCACUGGGUGAGUUUCCUGUAUUUUUUUUUUUUUUUUUUUUUGAGACAGUGUCUCACUUUGUUUCCCAGGCUGGAGUGCAGUGGUGCCAUCUCAGCUCACUGCAACCUCCGCAUCCUGGGUUCAAGUGAUUCUUCUGCCUCAGCCUCCUAAGUAGCUGGGAUUGCAGACACCUGCCACCAUGCCUGGCUAAUUUUUGUAUUUUUAGUAGAGACAGGGUUUCACCAUGUUGGCCAGGCUGGUCUCGAACUCAUGACCUCAGGAGGUCUGCCUGCCUCGGCCUCCCAAAGUGCUGGGAUUACAGGCGUAAGCCACCACGCCCAGCCCAGACAUUUAUUUCUUGCUGGAAAAUUGAGGAUCAAGGUGCAGCAGACAUGGUUUCUGGGGAGGAUGCUCUCUGCUUGUCUUGCAGAUGGCACCUUCUUGCUAUGUCCUCACAUUGCAGAGAGAGAAAGAGAAAGAGGUGGGGGGAGGGCGGGGAAGGGAGAGAGAGAACUCUGGUCUCUCUUCUUCUUGGUAUAAAGCCACUAAUCCCAUCAUGAGGACCCCACUCUCUUGACCUUAUCCUUAAUCAUUUCCCAAAGCCCCCCGCCCUGCAACUCCAAAUACCAUCAUACUGGGGAUUAGGGCUUCGACCUACAUAUUUUUAUUACUACGUGUUAUGAAGUGAACACAAUUCAGUCCAUAGCAGGUAGUAAUAAAAAAUACAAGUGGUGCUCUUCACUUGUGGCAGCUGAAGAACCUAAAUUCUCGUGCCUGAAGCCUCCUUUCUGCUUCUCUGGCCAUGUGGUCCUCGCGACCAGGGGUGCACGCUGGGCCCAGAUUGUCCCCCACAGGUCACGAAUUUACUUGAAAGGAACGCUGCAGACCAGUGAAGAGCUGGCAAAAAUUGUCAGGGAGAAGCAAUGAUCCAAAGACAGCUUUGGGACCCGCUGGCUCAGGAAGACUGGCUAGAUGUGGGCCACAUGUGCCCAGAAGGUGGGAGAUGUGUGUGCUGCUCAUUGUGUGUACCUUCUUGUUACUUCUGUCAGAGCUGAACUUGAAUUUGCCAUCUCAUUUUUGGAGACCUACAGUUGAAUAUUUGCAUAUCUCUGGAAUGGUGUCUUAGUCUGUUUUGUGCUACUAUAACAGAAGACCACAGACUGAGUCAUUUAUAAGAGCAGAAAAUUUAUUUGGCUCAUGGAGCAGCCUAGAACCCUACUAUUAGGUCUGAGUCAGUCAGAUGGAAAGAAGGCGAAGUAGAAGCAUCAAGGUCGAAUCAGUCACACAUGGACUUCCCUAGUGGACUCAUUGAAAACCAGACCUUCUGAGCCACCCUUGGUAGGGGCUCUGGAAGUGGCUUCUGAAGAGACCCCAUUCUGCACCUCCCAUGACUCUAUCCACCAAGGGCCUAGUGGGAGAAGUGUGCCCUGCAGUGCCCUCAGAAAGGCCCACUGAAACUGCAAACAUUCUUUUUCUGCACUGCCAUUUGGUUCAUGAAGACAUAUGGCUGGGAGAAGUUGAGUAUCCUAUGUCACCUUUUAGUCCAACAAUUUUAUGGAGGCUUAGCAUGGGCAGGCCUGGUGCCAGGUGAUGAGGAUGCACAUGGGAGCAGAUCUGGCCCUGCACACAGGAGCCCAUAUUUCUGGAUAGUGGGGCGGAGGUGACACAUGUCCACAUAACUGCCGUGUACAGAGAUAGCAAAACAGUAAGAUACAGGAUGAUUGAAGGUCUGUCUGUAGCUCAUCCAAAUGAUAUGGUGACCAGUUCCCAAGAGGAAUCUCUACACGUUUCCUGCUAUUGAGCCUAUGGAGCGUGAUAAAAGAAAUCUGGGCUGGGUGUGGUGGCUCACUCCUGUAAUCCCAGCACUUUGGGAGGCUGAGGUGGGUGGAUCACCUGAGGUCAGGAAUUCUAGACCAGCCUGGCCAACAUGACAAAACCCCUUCUCUACUAAAAAUACAAAAAAUUAGCCAGGCAUGGUGGCAGAUGCCUGUAAUCCCAGCUACAUGGGAGGCUGAGGCAGGUGCCACCCCAGCCAACAUGGCACCAUCCCAGCCAGCAUGGUGCUAUCCCAGACAAUAUGGCACCAUUCUAACCAACAUGGCACCACCCCAGCCUCAGGUAUUCCUUUAUAGAUAUACGAAUGGACUAAGACACUGGCAUAGCAAUAACACUAAUAAAUAUAUAUCGACUGAAUGAAAGAACAAACAUGUUAUCUUUCUGAAAGAAUAUAUUUUUUGGCCAGGCUUGGUGGCUCACGCCUGUAAUCCCAGCACUUUGGGAGGCCGAGGCGGGUGGAUCACGAGGUCAGGAGAUCGAGACCAUCCUGGCUAACAUGGUGAAACCCCAUCUCUACUAAAAACACACACACACAAAAUAAGCCGGGCUUGGUGGCAAGCAUCUGUAGUCCCAGCUACUUGGGAAGCUGAGGCAGGAGAAUGGCGUAAGCUUGCAGUGAGCAGAGAUGGGCCACUGCACUCCAGCCUGGGUGACAGAGCAAGACUCCAUCUCAAAAAAAAAAAAGAAGAAUGUAUUUUUUAAAACACAAUCAAAUCAAUGCCUUAAAACUAGGCUGUCACCACAUUUUUCCCCCCGUUUUACAUACUUAAAUUGGCUAAAUCAAGAAUACGGGCUGGCUCUCAGUCCCUAACUCGUGGGGGGGUGCCUCCCCCCCCUGCGAUGGGGGUCCUGAGAGCAGGGGGGAUGAGGGGCUUGCUGUCAGUCCCCGCCUUGCGGGGGGUGCCUCCCCCCUGCGAUGGGGGUCCUAAGAGCCGGGGGCGGAAGAGGGGCUGCCUCUGAGUCCCUGCCUCGUGGGGGGUGCCUCCCCCUCCUGCGAUGGUGGUCCUAAGAGCCUGGGGCGGAAGAGGGGCUGGCUCUCAGUCCGUGCCUCGCGGGGGAUGCCAUCGCCCCUGCGAUGGUGGUCCCAAGAGCCAGCGGGGGAAAAGGGGCUGCCGCUCAGCCACCACAACAUGGGGGGCCUUUAUGUUCAGGUUUUGCCCAAGAGUCAGCUUAUUUGCUUCUUGUACUAGCAGGGCAGUUGCUGCCAAGGCCCUCAAACACGGGAGCCAUCCUUCAGAAACCCUGUCUAGUUGUUCAGAGACGUAGGCCACCGGCCUCAGCCAGGGCCCCACAGUUUGGGUUAAAAGUCCAGCUGCCAUCUUUUCUCUUUCUAACGCAUACAAUGGAAAAGGCUUUGCCAGAUCGGGUAGCCCCGGGGCUGGGGCUGCCAGAAGUUUUUCCUUUAACUCAUGAAAGACUUGCUGUUCUUGGGAUCCCCAUUCCAAAGGUUCCCGGUCCCCGCCCCCUUUGUGACCUCAUACAAAGGCUUGGCUAAUACUGCAAAGUUUGGGAUGCACAGUCUACAGAACCCAACAACCCCUAAGAAUUCCGUCACGUGCCUUCUGCCCUUGGGCACCGGUAGAUGGCAAAUAACAUGCUUUCUUUCUGUUCCCGGGCUGCGUUCGGACCCCUGUCGGAGAGUAAAUCCCAACUAAGGUACCUGCCGUCGGCAGAUUUGAGCUUUCUUCUUGGACACGUAUUACCCACAGUCCUCCAGGUGGGUCCUUAAGGUUCUUAGGAUCCGCGAUGGGGGUCCUAAGCCAGGCGGGGAUGAGGGGCUGGCUCUCAGUCCCCGCCGCGCAGGGGAUGCCUCCCCCCCCGCCCGUGACAUGGGGGCCCUAAGAGCCGGGGGGGAAGAGGGGCUGGCUCUCAGUCGCCACCUCGUGGGGGGUGCCUCCCCCCCUGCGAUUGGUGUCCUAAGAGCCAGCGGGGGAAGAGGGGCUGGCUCUCAGUCCCCGCCUCGUGGGGGGAGCCUCCCCCCCCCCGCGACGGGGGUCGUGAGAGCCCGGGGGGAUGAGGGGCUGGCUCUCAGUCCCCGCCUCGCGGGGGGUGCCUCCCCCCCUGCGAUGGGGGCCCUGAGAGCCAGGGGGAAGAGGGGCUGGCUCUCAGUCCCUGCCUCAUUGGGGGUGCCUCCCCCCCCUGCGAUGGGGGUCCUGAGAGCCGGGGGCGGAAGAGGGGCUGCCUCUGAGUCCCUGCCUCGUGGGGGGUGCCUCCCCCUCCUGCGAUGGUGGUCCUAAGAGCCAGAGGGGGAAGAGGGGCUGGCUCUCAGUCCCCGCCUCGUGGGGGGUGCCUCCCCGCCUGCGAUGGGGGUCUUAAGAGCCGGGGUCGGAAGAGCGGCUGGCUCUGAGUCACCGCCUCGCGGGGGGUGCCUCCCCCCCCUGCGAUGGGGGUCCUAAGAGCCUGGGGCGGAAGAGGGGCUGGCUCUCAGUCCGUGCCUCGCGGGGGGUGCCAUCGCCCCUGCGAUGGUGGUCCCAAGAGCCAGCGGGGGAAAAGGGGCUGCCGCUCAGCCACCACAACAUGGGGGGCCUUUAUGUUCAGGUUUUGCCCAAGAGUCAGCUUAUUUGCUUCUUGUACUAGCAGGGCAGUUGCUGCCAAGGCCCUCAAACACGGGAGCCAUCCUUCAGAAACCCUGUCUAGUUGUUCAGAGACGUAGGCCACCGGCCUCAGCCAGGGCCCCACAGUUUGGGUUAAAAGUCCAGCUGCCAUCUUUUCUCUCUCUAACGCAUACAAUGGAAAAGGCUUUGCCAGAUCGGGUAGCCCCGGGGCUGGGGUUGCCAGAAGUUUUUCCUUUAACUCUUGAAAGACUUGCUGUUCUUGGGAUCCCCAUUCCAAAGGUUCCGGUCCCCGCCCCCUUUGUGACCUCAUACAAAGGCUUGGCUAAUACUACAGAGUUUGGGAUCCACAGUCUGCGAAACCCCACAGCUCCUGAGAAUUCUCUCAGCUGCCUUCGGCCCUUAGACUCUGGUAGAUUGCAUAUAACCUGCUUUCUUUCUGUUCCCGGGCGGCAUCGGACCCGUCGGAGAGUAAAUCCCAAGUAAGGUACCUGCCGUCGGCAGAUUGGAGCUUUCUUCUUGGACACCUAAUACCCACAGUCCUCCAGGCUCCGGUAGAUUGCAAACGACCUGCUUUCUUUAUGUUCCCGGCCUUUGGACCCCUGACGGAUAGUAAAUCCCAAGGAAGGUACCUGCCGUCGGGAGAUUUGAGUUUUCUUCUUGGACACGUAAUACCCAGAGUCCUCCAGGUGGGUCCUUAAGGUUCUUAGGAUCCGCGAUGGGGGUCCUAAGCCAGGGGGGGAUGAGGGGCUGGCUCUCAGUCCCCACCUCACGGGGGGUGCCUCCCCCCCUGCGAUGGGGGCCCUAAGAGCCAGGGGUGAUGUGGGGCUGGCUCUCAGUCCCCGCCUCGUGGGGGGUGCCUCCCCCUCCUGCGAUGGUGGUCCUAAGAGCCAGAGGGGGAAGAGGGGCUGGCUCUCAGUCCCUGCCUCGUGGGGGCUGCCUCCCCCGCCCUGCGAUGGGGGUCCUGAGAGCCGGGGGGAUGAGGGGCUGGCUCUCAGUCCCUGCCUCGUGGGGGGAGCCUCCCCUCCCCGCGACGGGGGUCGUGAGAGCCCGGGGGGAUGAGGGGCUGGCUCUCAGUCCCCGCCUCGCGGGGGGUGCCUCCCCCCCUGCGAUGGGGGCCCUAAGAGCCAGGGGGAAGAGGGGCUGGCUCUCAGUCCCUGCCUCAUUGGGGGUGCCUCCCCCCCCUGCGAUGGGGGUCGUGAGAGCUGGGGGGGAUGAGGGGCUGUCUCUCAGUCCCCGCCUCGCGGGGGGUGCCUCCCCCGCCCUGCGAUGGGGGUCCUGAGAGCCGGGGGGAUGAGGGGCUGGCUCUCAGUCCCUGCCUCGUGGGGGGAGCCUCCCCUCCCCGCGACGGGGGUCGUGAGAGCCCGGGGGGAUGAGGGGCUUGCUCUCAGUCCCCGCCUCGCGGGGGGUGCCUCCCCCCCCUGCGAUGGGGGCCCUAAGAGCCAGGGGUGAUAUGGGGCUGGCUCUCAGUCCCCGCCUCGUGGGGGGUGCCUCCCCCUCCUGCGAUGGUGGUCCUAAGAGCCAGAGGGGGGAGAGGUGCUGGCUCUCAGUCCCUGUCUCGUGGGGGCUGCCUCCCCCCCUGCGAUGGGGGUCCUGAGAGCCGGGGGGAUGAGGGGCUGGCUUUCAGUCCCUGCCUCGUGGGGGGAGCCUCCCCUCCCCGCGACGGCGGUCGUGAGAGCCCGGGGGGAUGAGGGGCUGGCUCUCAGUCCCCGCCUCGCGGGGGGUGCCUCCCCCCCUGCGAUGGGGGCCCUGAGAGCCAGGGGGAAGAGGGGCUGGCUCUCAGUGCCUGCCUCAUUGGGGGUGCCUCCCCCCCCUGCGAUGGGGGUCGUGAGAGCUGGGGGGGAUGAGGGGCUGGCUCUCAGUCCCCGCCUCGCGGGGGGUGCCUCCCCCCCUUGCGAUGGGGGCCCUAUGAGCCAGGGGUGAUGUGGGGCUGGCUCUCAGUCCCCGCCUCGUGGGGGGUGCCUCCCCCUCCUGCGAUGGUGGUCCUGAGAGCCAGAGGGGGAAGACGGGCUGGCUCUCAGUCCCUGCCUCGUGGGGGGGUGCCUCCCCCCCCCUGCGAUGGGGAUCCUGAGAGCCGGGGGGAUGAGGGGCUGGCUUUCAGUCCCCGCCUCGUGGGGGGUGCCUCCCCCCUGCGAUGGGGGUCCUAAGAACCGGGGGCGGAAGAGCGGCUGCCUCUGAGUCCCUGCCUCGUGGGGGGUCCCUCCCCCUCCUGCAAUGGUGGUCCUAAGAGCCAGAGGGGGAAGAGGGGCUGGCUCUCAGUCCCCGCCUCGUGGGGGGUGCCUCCCCCCCUGCGAUGGGGGUCCUAAGAGCCGGGGUCGGAAGAGCGGCUGGCUCUGAGUCCCCGCCUCGCGGGGGGUGCCUCCCCCCCUGCGAUGGGGGUCCUAAGAGCCUGGGGCGGAAGAGGGGCUGGCUCUCAGUCCGUGCCUCGCGAGGGGUGCCAUCGCCCCUGCGAUGGUGGUCCCAAGAGCCAGUGGGGGAAAAGGGGCUGCCGCUCAGCCACCACAACAUGGGGGGCCUUUAUGUUCGGGUUUUGCCCAAGAGUCAGCUUAUUUGCUUCUUGUACUAGCAGGGCCAGUUGCUGCCAAGGCCCUCAAACACGGGAGCCAUCCUUCAGAAACCCUGUCUAGUUGUUCAGAGACGUAGGCCACCGGCCUCAGCCAGGGCCCCACAGUUUGGGUUAAAAGUCCAGCUGCCAUCUUUUCUCUCUCUAACGCAUACAAUGGAAAAGGCUUUUCCAGAUCGGGUAGCCCCAGGGCUGGGGCUGCCAGAAGUUUUUCCUUUAACUCUUGAAAGACUUGCUGUUCUUGGGAUCCCCAUUCCAAAGGUUCCGGUCCCCGCCCCCUUUGUGACCUCAUACAAAGGCUUGGCUAAUACUACAGAGUUUGGGAUCCACAGUCUGCGAAACCCCACAGCUCCUGAGAAUUCUCUCAGCUGCCUUCGGCCCUUAGACUCUGGUAGAUUGCAUAUAACCUGCUUCCUUUCUGUUCCCGGGCGGCAUCGGACCCGUCGGAGAGUAAAUCCCAAGUAAGGUACCUGCCGUCGGCAGAUUGGAGCUUUCUUCUUGGACACCUAAUACCCACAGUCCUCCAGGCUCCGGUAGAUUGCAAACGACCUGCUUUCUUUCUGUUCCCGGCGUUUGGACCCCUGUCGGAUAGUAAAUCCCAAGGAAGGUACCUGCCGUCGGGAGAUUUGAGCUUUCUUCUUGGACACGUAAUACCCAGAGUCCUCCAGGUGGGUCCUUAAGGUUCUUAGGAUCCGCGAUGGGGGUCCUAAGCCAGGGGGGGAUGAGGGGCUGGCUCUCAGUCCCCACCUCGCGGGGGGUGCUUCCCCCCCCUGCGAUGGGGGCCCUAAGAGCCAGGGGUGAUGUGGGGCUGGCUCUCAGUCCCCGCCUCGUGGGGGGUGCCUCCCCCUCCUGCGAUGGUGGUCCUAAGAGCCAGAGGGGGAAGAGGGGCUGGCUCUCAGUCCCUGCCUCGUGGGGGCUGCCUCCCCCGCCCUGCGAUGGGGGUCCUGAGAGCCGGGGGGAUGAGGGGCUGGCUCUCAGUCCCCGCCUCGCGGGGGGUGCCUCCCCCCCUGCGAUGGGGGCCCUGAGAGCCAGGGGGAAGAGGGGCUGGCUCUCAGUCCCCGCCUCGUGGGGGGUGCCUCCCCCUCCUGCGAUGGUGGUCCUAAGAGCCAGAGGGGGAAGAGGUGCUGGCUCUCAGUCCCUGCCUCGUGGGGGCUGCCUCCCCCCCUGCGAUGGGGGUCCUGAGAGCCGGGGGGAUGAGGGGCUGGCUCUCAGUCCCUGCCUCGUGGGGGGAGCCUCCCCUCCCCGCGACAGGGGUCGUGAGAGCCCGGGGGGAUGAGGGGCUGGCUCUCAGUCCCUGCCUCAUUGGGGGUGCCUCCCCCCCCUGCGAUGGGGGUCGUGAGAGCUGGGGGGGAUGAGGGGCUGGCUCUCAGUCCCCGCCUCGCGGGGGGUGCCUCCCCCCCUUGCGAUGGGGGCCCUAUGAGCCAGGGGUGAUGUGGGGCUGGCUCUCAGUCCCCGCCUCGUGGGGGGUGCCUCCCCCUCCUGCGAUGGUGGUCCUGAGAGCCAGAGGGGGAAGACGGGCUGGCUCUCAGUCCCUGCCUCGUGGGGGGGUGCCUCCCCCCCCCUGCGAUGGGGAUCCUGAGAGCCGGGGGGAUGAGGGGCUGGCUUUCAGUCCCCGCCUCGCGGGGGGUGCCUCCCCCCUGCGAUGGGGGUCCUAAGAACCGGGGGCGGAAGAGCGGCUGCCUCUGAGUCCCUGCCUCGUGGGGGGUGCCUCCCCCUCCUGCAAUGGUGGUCCUAAGAGCCAGAGGGGGAAGAGGGGCUGGCUCUCAGUCCCCGCCUCGUGGGGGGUGCCUCCCCCCCUGCGAUGGGGGUCCUAAGAGCCGGGGUCGGAAGAGCGGCUGGCUCUGAGUCCCCGCCUCGCGGGGGGUGCCUCCCCCCCUGCGAUGGGGGUCCUAAGAGCCUGGGGCGGAAGAGGGGCUGGCUCUCAGUCCGUGCCUCGCGAGGGGUGCCAUCGCCCCUGCGAUGGUGGUCCCAAGAGCCAGUGGGGGAAAAGGGGCUGCCGCUCAGCCACCACAACAUGGGGGGCCUUUAUGUUCGGGUUUUGCCCAAGAGUCAGCUUAUUUGCUUCUUGUACUAGCAGGGCCAGUUGCUGCCAAGGCCCUCAAACACGGGAGCCAUCCUUCAGAAACCCUGUCUAGUUGUUCAGAGACGUAGGCCACCGGCCUCAGCCAGGGCCCCACAGUUUGGGUUAAAAGUCCAGCUGCCAUCUUUUCUCUCUCUAACGCAUACAAUGGAAAAGGCUUUUCCAGAUCCGGUAGCCCCAGGGCUGGGGCUGCCAGAAGUUUUUCCUUUAACUCUUGAAAGACUUGCUGUUCUUGGGAUCCCCAUUCCAAAGGUUCCGGUCCCCGCCCCCUUUGUGACCUCAUACAAAGGCUUGGCUAAUACUACAGAGUUUGGGAUCCACAGUCUGCGAAACCCCACAGCUCCUGAGAAUUCUCUCAGCUGCCUUCGGCCCUUAGACUCUGGUAGAUUGCAUAUAACCUGCUUCCUUUCUGUUCCCGGGCGGCAUCGGACCCGUCGGAGAGUAAAUCCCAAGUAAGGUACCUGCCGUCGGCAGAUUGGAGCUUUCUUCUUGGACACCUAAUACCCACAGUCCUCCAGGCUCCGGUAGAUUGCAAACGACCUGCUUUCUUUCUGUUCCCGGCGUUUGGACCCCUGUCGGAUAGUAAAUCCCAAGGAAGGUACCUGCCGUCGGGAGAUUUGAGCUUUCUUCUUGGACACGUAAUACCCAGAGUCCUCCAGGUGGGUCCUUAAGGUUCUUAGGAUCCGCGAUGGGGGUCCUAAGCCAGGGGGGGAUGAGGGGCUGGCUCUCAGUCCCCACCUCGCGGGGGGUGCUUCCCCCCCCUGCGAUGGGGGCCCUAAGAGCCAGGGGUGAUGUGGGGCUGGCUCUCAGUCCCCGCCUCGUGGGGGGUGCCUCCCCCUCCUGCGAUGGUGGUCCUAAGAGCCAGAGGGGGAAGAGGGGCUGGCUCUCAGUCCCUGCCUCGUGGGGGCUGCCUCCCCCGCCCUGCGAUGGGGGUCCUGAGAGCCGGGGGGAUGAGGGGCUGGCUCUCAGUCCCCGCCUCGCGGGGGGUGCCUCCCCCCCUGCGAUGGGGGCCCUGAGAGCCAGGGGGAAGAGGGGCUGGCUCUCAGUCCCCGCCUCGUGGGGGGUGCCUCCCCCUCCUGCGAUGGUGGUCCUAAGAGCCAGAGGGGGAAGAGGUGCUGGCUCUCAGUCCCUGCCUCGUGGGGGCUGCCUCCCCCCCUGCGAUGGGGGUCCUGAGAGCCGGGGGGAUGAGGGGCUGGCUCUCAGUCCCUGCCUCGUGGGGGGAGCCUCCCCUCCCCGCGACAGGGGUCGUGAGAGCCCGGGGGGAUGAGGGGCUGGCUCUCAGUCCCUGCCUCAUUGGGGGUGCCUCCCCCCCCUGCGAUGGGGGUCGUGAGAGCUGGGGGGGAUGAGGGGCUGGCUCUCAGUCCCCGCCUCGUGGGGGGUGCCUCCCCCCCUUGCGAUGGGGGCCCUAUGAGCCAGGGGUGAUGUGGGGCUGGCUCUCAGUCCCCGCCUCGUGGGGGGUGCCUCCCCCUCCUGCGAUGGUGGUCCUGAGAGCCAGAGGGGGAAGACGGGCUGGCUCUCAGUCCCUGCCUCGUGGGGGGGUGCCUCCCCCCCCCUGCGAUGGGGAUCCUGAGAGCCGGGGGGAUGAGGGGCUGGCUUUCAGUCCCCGCCUCGCGGGGGGUGCCUCCCCCCUGCGAUGGGGGUCCUAAGAACCGGGGGCGGAAGAGCGGCUGCCUCUGAGUCCCUGCCUCGUGGGGGGUGCCUCCCCCUCCUGCAAUGGUGGUCCUAAGAGCCAGAGGGGGAAGAGGGGCUGGCUCUCAGUCCCCGCCUCGUGGGGGGUGCCUCCCCCCCUGCGAUGGGGGUCCUAAGAGCCGGGGUCGGAAGAGCGGCUGGCUCUGAGUCCCCGCCUCGCGGGGGGUGCCUCCCCCCCUGCGAUGGGGGUCCUAAGAGCCUGGGGCGGAAGAGGGGCUGGCUCUCAGUCCGUGCCUCGCGAGGGGUGCCAUCGCCCCUGCGAUGGUGGUCCCAAGAGCCAGUGGGGGAAAAGGGGCUGCCGCUCAGCCACCACAACAUGGGGGGCCUUUAUGUUCGGGUUUUGCCCAAGAGUCAGCUUAUUUGCUUCUUGUACUAGCAGGGCCAGUUGCUGCCAAGGCCCUCAAACACGGGAGCCAUCCUUCAGAAACCCUGUCUAGUUGUUCAGAGACGUAGGCCACCGGCCUCAGCCAGGUCCCCACAGUUUGGGUUAAAAGUCCAGCUGCCAUCUUUUCUCUCUCUAACGCAUACAAUGGAAAAGGCUUUGCCAGAUCGGGUAGCCCCAGGGCUGGGGCUGCCAGAAGUUUUUCCUUUAACUCUUGAAAGACUUGCUGUUCUUGGGAUCCCCAUUCCAAAGGUUCCGGUCCCCGCCCCCUUUGUGACCUCAUACAAAGGCUUGGCUAAUACUACAGAGUUUGGGAUCCACAGUCUGCGAAACCCCACAGCUCCUGAGAAUUCUCUCAGCUGCCUUCGGCCCUUAGACUCUGGUAGAUUGCAUAUAACCUGCUUCCUUUCUGUUCCCGGGCGGCAUCGGACCCGUCGGAGAGUAAAUCCCAAGUAAGGUACCUGCCGUCGGCAGAUUGGAGCUUUCUUCUUGGACACCUAAUACCCACAGUCCUCCAGGCUCCGGUAGAUUGCAAACGACCUGCUUUCUUUCUGUUCCCGGCGUUUGGACCCCUGUCGGAUAGUAAAUCCCAAGGAAGGUACCUGCCGUCGGGAGAUUUGAGCUUUCUUCUUGGACACGUAAUACCCAGAGUCCUCCAGGUGGGUCCUUAAGGUUCUUAGGAUCCGCGAUGGGGGUCCUAAGCCAGGGGGGGAUGAGGGGCUGGCUCUCAGUCCCCACCUCGCGGGGGGUGCUUCCCCCCCCUGCGAUGGGGGCCCUAAGAGCCAGGGGUGAUGUGGGGCUGGCUCUCAGUCCCCGCCUCGUGGGGGGUGCCUCCCCCUCCUGCGAUGGUGGUCCUAAGAGCCAGAGGGGGAAGAGGGGCUGGCUCUCAGUCCCUGCCUCGUGGGCGCUGCCUCCCCCGCCCUGCGAUGGGGGUCCUGAGAGCCGGGGGGAUGAGGGGCUGGCUCUCAGUCCCCGCCUCGCGGGGGGUGCCUCCCCCCCUGCGAUGGGGGCCCUGAGAGCCAGGGGGAAGAGGGGCUGGCUCUCAGUCCCCGCCUCGUGGGGGGUGCCGUCCCCGCCUCGUGGGGGUGCCUCCCCCUCCUGCGAUGGUGGUCCUAAGAGCCAGAGGGGGAAGAGGUGCUGGCUCUCAGUCCCUGCCUCGUGGGGGCUGCAUCCCCCCCUGCGAUGGGGGUCCUGAGAGCCGGGGGGAUGAGGGGCUGGCUCUCAGUCCCUGCCUCGUGGGGGGAGCCUCCCCUCCCCGCGACAGGUGUCGUGAGAGCCCGGGGGGAUGAGGGGCUGGCUCUCAGUCCCUGCCUCAUUGGGGGUGCCUCCCCCCCCUGCGAUGGGGGUCGUGAGAGCUGGGGGGGAUGAGGGGCUGGCUCUCAGUCCCCGCCUCGUGGGGGGUGCCUCCCCCCCUUGCGAUGGGGGCCCUAUGAGCCAGGGGUGAUGUGGGGCUGGCUCUCAGUCCCCGCCUCGUGGGGGGUGCCUCCCCCUCCUGCGAUGGUGGUCCUGAGAGCCAGAGGGGGAAGACGGGCUGGCUCUCAGUCCCUGCCUCGUGGGGGGGUGCCUCCCCCCCCCUGCGAUGGGGAUCCUGAGAGCCGGGGGGAUGAGGGGCUGGCUUUCAGUCCCCGCCUCGCAGGGGGUGCCUCCCCCCUGCGAUGGGGGUCCUAAGAACCGGGGGCGGAAGAGCGGCUGCCUCUGAGUCCCUGCCUCGUGGGGGGUGCCUCCCCCUCCUGCAAUGGUGGUCCUAAGAGCCAGAGGGGGAAGAGGGGCUGGCUCUCAGUCCCCGCCUCGUGGGGGGUGCCUCCCCCCCUGCGCUGGGGGUCCUAAGAGCCUGGGUCGGAAGAGCGGCUGGCUCUGAGUCCCCGCCUCGCGGGGGGUGCCUCCCCCCCUGCGAUGGGGGUCCUAAGAGCCUGGGGCGGAAGAGGGGCUGGCUCUCAGUCCGUGCCUCGCGAGGGGUGCCAUCGCCCCUGCGAUGGUGGUCCCAAGAGCCAGUGGGGGAAAAGGGGCUGCCGCUCAGCCACCACAACAUGGGGGGCCUUUAUGUUCGGGUUUUGCCCAAGAGUCAGCUUAUUUGCUUCUUGUACUAGCAGGGCCAGUUGCUGCCAAGGCCCUCAAACACGGGAGCCAUCCUUCAGAAACCCUGUCUAGUUGUUCAGAGACGUAGGCCACCGGCCUCAGCCAGGGCCCCACAGUUUGGGUUAAAAGUCCAGCUGCCAUCUUUUCUCUCUCUAACGCAUACAAUGGAAAAGGCUUUUCCAGAUCGGGUAGCCCCAGGGCUGGGGCUGCCAGAAGUUUUUCCUUUAACUCUUGAAAGACUUGCUGUUCUUGGGAUCCCCAUUCCAAAGGUUCCGGUCCCCGCCCCCUUUGUGACCUCAUACAAAGGCUUGGCUAAUACUACAGAGUUUGGGAUCCACAGUCUGCGAAACCCCACAGCUCCUGAGAAUUCUCUCAGCUGCCUUCGGCCCUUAGACUCUGGUAGAUUGCAUAUAACCUGCUUUCUUUCUGUUCCCGGGCGGCAUCGGACCCGUCGGAGAGUAAAUCCCAAGUAAGGUACCUGCCGUCGGCAGAUUGGAGCUUUCUUCUUGGACACCUAAUACCCACAGUCCUCCAGGCUCCGGUAGAUUGCAAACGACCUGCUUUCCUUCUGUUCCCGGCGUUUGGACCCCUGUCGGAUAGUAAAUCCCAAGGAAGGUACCUGCCGUCGGGAGAUUUGAGCUUUCUUCUUGGACACGUAAUACCCAGAGUCCUCCAGGUGGGUCCUUAAGGUUCUUAGGAUCCGCGAUGGGGGUCCUAAGCCAGGGGGGGAUGAGGGGCUGGCUCUCAGUCCCCACCUCGCGGGGGGUGCUUCCCCCCCCUGCGAUGGGGGCCCUAAGAGCCAGGGGUGAUGUGGGGCUGGCUGUCAGUCCCCGCCUCGUGGGGGGUGCCUCCCCCUCCUGCGAUGGUGGUCCUAAGAGCCAGAGGGGGAAGAGGGGCUGGCUCUCAGUCCCUGCCUCGUGGGGGCUGCCUCCCCCGCCCUGCGAUGGGGGUCCUGAGAGCCGGGGGGAUGAGGGGCUGGCUCUCAGUCCCCGCCUCGCGGGGGGUGCCUCCCCCCCUGCGAUGGGGGCCCUGAGAGCCAGGGGGAAGAGGGGCUGGCUCUCAGUGCCUGCCUCAUUGGGGGUGCCUCCCCCCCCUGCGAUGGGGGUCGUGAGAGCUGGGGGGGAUGAGGGGCUGGCUCUCAGUCUCCGCCUCGCGGGGGGUGCCUCCCCACCCUGCGAUGGGGGCCCUAAGAGCCAGGGGUGAUGUGGGGCUGGCUCUCAGUCCCCGCCUCGUGGGGGGUGCCUCCCCCUCCUGCGAUGGCGGUCCUGAGAGCCAGAGGGGGAAGACGGGCUGGCUCUCAGUGCCUGCCUCGUUGGGGGGGUGCCUCCCCCCCCCCUGCGAUGGGGGUCCUGAGAGCCGGGGUGAUGAGGGGCUGGCUGUCAGUCCCUGCCUCGCGGGGGGUGCCUCCCCCCUGCGAUGGGGGUCCUAAGAGCCGGGGGCGGAAGAGGGGCUGCCUCUGAGUCCCUGCCUCGUGGGGGGUGCCUCCCCCUCCUGCGAUGGUGGUCCUAAGAACCAGAGGGGGAUGAGGGGCUGACUCUCAGUCCCCGCCUCGUGGGGGGUGCCUCCCCCCCUGCGAUGGGGGUCCUAAGAGCCAGGGUCGGAAGAGCGGCUGGCUCUGAGUCCCCGCCUCGCGGGGGUUUCCUCCCCCCCUGUGAUGGGCGUCCUAAGACCCUGGGGCCGAAGAGCGGCUGGCUCUCAGUCCCCGCCUCGCGGGUGGUGCCACCCCCUCUGUGAUGGGGUUCCCAAGAGCAAGGGGGGGAUAAAGGACUUGCCCUCACCCAGCACAAAACGGGGGGCCUUUAUGUUCAGGUUUUGCCCAAGAGUCAGCUUAUUUGCUUCUUUUUCUAGCAGGGCAGUUGCUGCCAAGGCCCUCAAACAGGGGGGCCAUCCUUUAGAAACCCUGUCUAGUUGUUCAGAGACGUAGGCCACCGGCCUCUGCCAGGGCACCUGAGUUUGGGUUAAAAGUCCAACUGCCCUCUCUUCUCUCUCUAACGCAUACAAUGGAAAAGGCUUUGUCAGAUCGGGCAGCCCCAGGGCUUUGGCUGCCAGAAGUUUUUCCUUCAAGUCAUGAAAGACUUGCUGUUCUUGGGAUCCCUAUUCCAAAGAUUCCCUGUUCCCGCCCCCUUUGUGACCUCAUACCAAGUGUUGACUUAUUCUACAAAGUUUGGGAUCCACAGUCUACAAAACCCCACAGUUCCUGAGAAUUCUCUCGCCUGCCUUCGGCCCUUAGGCUCCGGUAUAUUGCAAAUAACCUUCUUUCUUUCUGUUCCCGGGCGGCUUCGGACCCCUGUCGGAGAGUAAAUCCCAAGUAAGGUACCUGCCGUCGGCAGAUUUGAGCUUUCUUCUUGGACACCUCAUACCCACAGUCCUCCAGGGUGAGACGGGGUGAUAUGACUGCCUGCAUCGUGGGUGGCGCCUGCCCCCCUGCGAUGCGGAUCGUCUUAUCCAGGGUAUGAAAGGAUCCUUUCUAUACUGCCACCCUCAGUUCACACCCUGGAACAUUAUCUUCCAUAUUCUAGCAAGAUGUGGCUUCUAAAGUCGCAGGAGGAAUGGAACAGAUAAGAAGAUACUGAGAUUGGACGGUGCUGCGGUGCGGCCGCCGCAGGACAGUUUUAAUAUCCCUGUUUCUCAGGCUGUAGAUGAAGGGGUUCAGCAUGGAGGUGAUCACCGUGUACAUCACUGAGGCCACUGCAGCCUUUCUCGGGGAAGAUGACACAUCUGAACUGAGGUACCCUCCAACGCCUGUUCCGUAAAAUCAGCAAACAACUGACAGGAUAACUUCAGGAAGUGGGUAUUAAUUCUCACGGUAUAAGUGAAGACAUUAAGCACCAGAGUUUAAGUAGCUUGAUCCACUGAAAGAGAUUCAACUGUGUGGAACCUAUGCCACGGAGAAUUGCUUUCUGCCAUUGUUAUCGUCCAGCAGUUGCCGAAUAUCUCUGACCUGAGCAAAGCAGUGAAACGCGGUGCUGUUGAGUGGGUUGCCACUGCACCUUUUUCAACUACUCUAGUCUUGUGGAGAAAACACCCCUUGUAAAUUUUUUCUUCAUUGAAUACUCUCCCUCAGGUCCAGGGUACCAUAUAGAGUUUUCUUGUAUUUUAGAGUUACUGUUUUAUCAAAGUUUACCAGUCUUUUGUAUUACAUUUCUCCUGUCUAAAUCAACUGUGUGGUUUCUACUCAUUAUGGAUAUAGAUUGAUACAAACUCAAUAAAUAUUUUUGAAUGAAUAA